CCUACGGGGGGCAGCAGUAAGGAAUAUUGGACAAUGGGGGCAACCCUGAUCCAGCCAUGCCGCGUGAAGGAUGAAGGCGCUCUGCGUCGUAAACUUCUUUUGUAUGGGAAAAAUAUCCUGAUUUCUAUCGGGAUUGAUGGUACCAUAAGAAUAAGGGUCGGCUAACUUCGUGCCAGCAGCCGCGGUAAUACGAAGGACCCGAGCGUUAUCCGGAUUCAUUGGGUUUAAAGGGUGCGUAGGCGGGCCUGUAAGUCAGUGGUGAAAGCCCAACGCUUAACGUUGGAACGGCCAUUGAUACUGCAGGUCUUGAGUACAGUUGAGGUUGGCGGAAUGUGUCAUGUAGCGGUGAAAUGCUUAGAUAUGACACAGAACACCGAUUGCGAAGGCAGCUAGCUAAACUGUAACUGACGCUGAGGCACGAAAGCGUGGGUAGCAAACAGGAUUAGAUACCCUAGUAGUC
rnacentral:rRNA from 1 species